GACGAACGCUGGCGGCGUGCUUAACACAUGCAAGUCGAACGGAAAGGCCCUGCUUUUGUGGGGUGCUCGAGUGGCGAACGGGUGAGUAACACGUGAGUAACAUGCCCUUGACUUUGGGAUAACUUCAGGAAACUGGGGCUCAUACCGGAUAUGAGCUCCUGCUGCAUGGUGGGGGUUGGAAAGUUUCGGCGGUUGGGGAUGGACUCGCGGCUUAUCAGCUUGUUGGUGGGGUAGUGGCUUACCAAGGCUUUGACGGGUAGCCGGCAUGAGAGGGUGACCGGCCACAUUGGGACUGAGAUACGGCCCAGACUCCUACGGGAGGCAGCAGGGGGGAAUAUUGCACAAUGGGCGGAAGCCUGAUGCAGCAACGCCGCGUGCGGGAUGACGGCCUUCGGGUUGUAAACCGCUGUCGCCUGUGACGAAGCGUGAGUGACGGUAAUGGGUAAAGAAGCACCGGCUAACUACGUG
rnacentral:rRNA from 1 species